GACGAACGCUGGCGGCGUGCUUAACACAUGCAAGUCGAACGGUGAAGCGCCUUCCUUUUUGGUGGGUGUGGAUGAGUGGCGAACGGGUGAGUAACACGUGAGUAACCUGCCCCCUUCUUCUGGAUAACCGCAUGAAAGUGUGGCUAAUACGGGAUAUUCUGGGUCUGUCGCAUGAUGGGUCUGGGAAAGAUAUUGUUUCGGUGGGGGAUGGGCUCGCGGCCUAUCAGCUUGUUGGUGGGGUGAUGGCCUACCAAGGCGGUGACGGGUAGCCGGCCUGAGAGGGUGGACGGUCACACGGGGACUGAGACACGGCCCAGACUACUACGGGAGGCAGCAGUGGGGAAUAUUGCACAAUGGGCGCAAGCCUGAUGCAGCGACGCCGCGUGAGGGAUGGAGGCCUUCGGGUUGUGAACCUCUUUCGCCAGUGAAGCAGGCCUGCCUCGUUUGUGGGUGGGUUGACGGUAGCUGGAUAAGAAGCGCCGGCUAACUACGU
rnacentral:rRNA from 1 species